rnacentral:misc_RNA from 1 species
UCAAACUUGGUCAUUUAGAGGAAGUAAAAGUCGUAACAAGGUCUCCGUUGGUGAACCAGCGGAGGGAUCAUUAUCGAGUGUUAAAACUCCCAAACCCACUGUGAACAUACCUAUCGUUGCUUCGGCGGGACCGCCCCGGCGCCGCCCCCUCGCGGGGCCUGCCCGGAACCAGGCGCCCGCCGGAGGCCCCGAAACUCUUGUUUUAUUCAGUACUUUCUCUGAGUGUAAACGCAAAAUAAAUCAAAACUUUCAACAACGGAUCUCUUGGCUCUGGCAUCGAUGAAGAACGCAGC